rnacentral:lncRNA from 1 species
UUAAACUCAGAAUCGUGCACACACCUACGUAUAACUUGGUCAGGGCAAUAUUUCCAUAAAUACGGGUCAUCCCAUACAUAAAACCGUGCCUCUUUCUUCAAUUUAUCACCUUGGUGUUUAAGUAAUUCCCUAGGAACAUGUUUAGACACCAAAUAAUUCACCAAAUCAGCAUACCACGGUUCACUUACCUUGACGGACA